rnacentral:rRNA from 1 species
UACGGAGGGAGCUAGCGUUGUUCGGAAUUACUGGGCGUAAAGCGCGCGUAGGCGGCUUUGUAAGUUAGAGGUGAAAGCCCGGGGCUCAACCCCGGAACUGCCUUUAAGACUGCAUCGCUUGAAUCCAGGAGAGGUGAGUGGAAUUCCGAGUGUAGAGGUGAAAUUCGUAGAUAUUCGGAAGAACACCAGUGGCGAAGGCGGCUCACUGGACUGGGUAUUGACGCUGAUGUGCGAAAAGCGUGGGGAGCAAACAGG